rnacentral:lncRNA from 1 species
UUUUUUAUGUAAAAUUUCAUGAUGAGUGCAUUAUGUAUGUUUAUGAUGGAUGGAAAAAUGUUUUAUAGACACCCAUUAUGCUAUAAGACACCUAGAGAUAGAGAAAAAAGAGAGGAAAAUAUAGGUAUUAUAGGGUUUAUGAUGUGAUAGGAAGAGAGAAAUGAAAGGUGUUGGUGGGGCGUUUAAAAUAAGUGGGUGUUUGUGUAUCAUUGCUCAUGAUGGAUGCUUUGCUUGCCAUUUUCCUCUGGCUUAAUAUCUAUGUAUAUGAUGGAUGCAGAUGUUCUUCCCUCUUGGACCUACUGCCCAUGCUAUCUAUGGUGCAAUUGGUGCUAUGAUAUUCUCUGGCUACAUUGUGUAUGACACUGACAACCUGAUCAAGCGUUUCACUUAUGAUGAGUACAUUGGAGCCUCUGUUACUCUUUAUCUUGACAUACUCAACCUCUUCCUUUCCAUCUUAAGGAUCCUCAGGGAGGCAAAUAAUUAGUCAUAUCGAGGUUGAGUAAUACCAAACAAAUUCAAAAAGACUAUGUUGCUUCUUUAUUUUUAUUUUUUGUGACUAUGUUGCUUCUUUAUAGUAUACCGUAGGAAGUAUUGUGAAACAUAAUAACACCGUGCUUCUCUUGUACUCCCUUACAGCUUAUGAUACUUUUGAUGACAUGAAAUUUAAAGCUUUACAAUUGUAUGUAUGCGUGAUAUAAGAAUCUCCCUUGCGAAAUAUUUUCUGUUUGCUUUGUUUGAAGUGAGUUGUCUAUCAAUUUAAUGCUAUGUAUACAGUAGUAUAUGGCAUAUCGUAG